CCGGGCGCGUCUUCGCCUGUCUCGCCGCCGCCGCCCUGCUCGCCAGGCUCGCGCGCGACCUCCCCACAUGAAUUCGAUGACAUGGUUGAGUUGGAUCACUUCACCUCCUCUGAUGGACUGAUUGUUUUUGUGGUGGCACUCCAAUCCUGCAGUUGUGGUGGGCGCCGGAAACCCUAGCUGCCGGGACGCGGCCAUGGUGACCGACCGGAGGCGCAGGACUCGGACUCGGACAACGGUGGUAUGGUAGGCGUCAUGGAGCGGAGCUUGCUCUGUCCGGGACGCCAUGGAUCUGUUGCGCGUGAAGCUCUUUCUUCCUCCAGCACAAGAACGUACAAGCAGCAUCCAAGGACGAACCUGGCGGAAAACCCAUGGUGCCAUCUGCAGGACAAAUCGGUGUGCUAAUCUGUCGAGCUUUCCUUCUGAUUUCACGGUAAAUCACAACCUUCCAACUUCAAACUACUGUAACGUGCAUCCGACAGGCUAAUUGUAAUCUUCGUGGUGCGUUUGAGACCGUUAGAGAGAGUCCAGCAUUUACCAUGGUAGGCAGCAGCCAUGAUCCAUGUCAGGAUUUUUUCGUAGGAAUGCAUUGUUGUGUACUUAUUGAGAAUGAUUGCAAUGCCUAUUUUUUUUCUACAUAUAGAAUACAAUUUUCACUCACUGGA